GAUAAACGCUGGCGGCGUGCCUAAUACAUGCAAGUCGAGCGAACGGACGAGAAGCUUGCUUUUCUGAUGUUAGCGGCGGACGGGUGAGUAACACGUGGAUAACCUACCUAUAAGACUGGGAUAACUUCGGGAAACCGGAGCUAAUACCGGAUAAUAUUUUGAACCGCAUGGUUCAAAAGUGAAAGACGGUCUUGCUGUCACUUAUAGAUGGAUCCGCGCUGCAUUAGCUAGUUGGUAAGGUAACGGCUUACCAAGGCAACGAUGCAUAGCCGACCUGAGAGGGUGAUCGGCCACACUGGAACUGAGACACGGUCCAGACUCCUACGGGAGGCAGCAGUAGGGAAUCUUCCGCAAUGGGCGAAAGCCUGACGGAGCAACGCCGCGUGAGUGAUGAAGGUCUUCGGAUCGUAAAACUCUGUUAUUAGGGAAGAACAUAUGUGUAAGUAACUGUGCACAUCUUGACGGUACCUAAUCAGAAAGCCACGGCUAACUACGUGCCAGCAGCCGCGGUAAUACGUAGGUGGCAAGCGUUAUCCGGAAUUAUUGGGCGUAAAGCGCGCGUAGGCGGUUUUUUAAGUCUGAUGUGAAAGCCCACGGCUCAACCGUGGAGGGUCAUUGGAAACUGGAAAACUUGAGUGCAGAAGAGGAAGGUGGAAUUCCAUGUGUAGCGGUGAAAUGCGCAGAGAUAUGGAGGAACACCAGUGGCGAAGGCGACUUUCUGGUCUGUAACUGACGCUGAUGUGCGAAAGCGUGGGGAUCAAACAGGAUUAGAUACCCUGGUAGUCCACGCCGUAAACGAUGAGUGCUAAGUGUUAGGGGGUUUCCGCCCCUUAGUGCUGCAGCUAACGCAUUAAGCACUCCGCCUGGGGAGUACGACCGCAAGGUUGAAACUCAAAGGAAUUGACGGGGACCCGCACAAGCGGUGGAGCAUGUGGUUUAAUUCGAAGCAACGCGAAGAACCUUACCAAAUCUUGACAUCCUUUGACAACUCUAGAGAUAGAGCCUUCCCCUUCGGGGGACAAAGUGACAGGUGGUGCAUGGUUGUCGUCAGCUCGUGUCGUGAGAUGUUGGGUUAAGUCCCGCAACGAGCGCAACCCUUAAGCUUAGUUGCCAUCAUUAAGUUGGGCACUCUAAGUUGACUGCCGGUGACAAACCGGAGGAAGGUGGGGAUGACGUCAAAUCAUCAUGCCCCUUAUGAUUUGGGCUACACACGUGCUACAAUGGACAAUACAAAGGGCAGCGAAACCGCGAGGUCAAGCAAAUCCCAUAAAGUUGUUCUCAGUUCGGAUUGUAGUCUGCAACUCGACUACAUGAAGCUGGAAUCGCUAGUAAUCGUAGAUCAGCAUGCUACGGUGAAUACGUUCCCGGGUCU
rnacentral:rRNA from 1 species